rnacentral:rRNA from 1 species
GCUUGUCUCAAAGAUUAAGCCAUGCAUGUCUAAGUAUAAGUAUUAUACAGCGAAACUGCGAAUGGCUCAUUAAAACAGUUAUAGUUUACAUGAUAAUCGAAUUUACAUGGAUAACCGUGGUAAUUCUAGAGCUAAUACAUGCUGGCGUGCCCGACUUUUGUGGAAGGGCGGUAUUUAUUAGAUAACAAGCCAAUAUUCCUCACGGUCUAUUGUGGUGACUCAUAAUAACUGAUCGGAUCGCACGGGCUUGCCCGCGACAAACCAUUCAAGUUUCUGCCCCAUCAGCUUUCGAUGGUAGUGUAUUGGACUACCAUGGCUUUUACGGGUAACGGAGGAUUAGGGUUCGAUUCCGGAGAGGGAGCCUGAGAAACGGCUACCACAUCUAAGGAAGGCAGCAGG